rnacentral:rRNA from 1 species
AGAGUUUGAUCCUGGCUCAGGACGAACGCUGGCGGCGUGCCUAAUACAUGCAAGUCGAACGCUUCUUUUCUACCGAGUGCUUGCACUCACUUGAAAAGAGGAGUGGCGGACGGGUGAGUAACACGUGGGUAACCUACCCAUCAGAGGGGGAUAACACUUGGAAACAGGUGCUAAUACCGCAUAAUAGUCGACAUCGCAUGGUGUUGAUUUGAAAGACGCUUUCGGGUGUCACUGAUGGAUGGACCCGCGGUGCAUUAGCUAGUUGGUGAGGUAACGGCUCACCAAGGCCAUGAUGCAUAGCCGACCUGAGAGGGUGAUCGGCCACACUGGGACUGAGACACGGCCCAGACUCCUACGGGAGGCAGCAGUAGGGAAUCUUCGGCAAUGGACGAAAGUCUGACCGAGCAACGCCGCGUGAGUGAAGAAGGUUUUCGGAUCGUAAAACUCUGUUGUUAGAGAAGAACAAGUAGGAGAGUAACUGCUCUUACCUUGACGGUAUCUAACCAGAAAGCCACGGCUAACUACGUGCCAGCAGCCGCGGUAAUACGUAGGUGGGCAAGCGUUGUCCGGAUUUAUUGGGCGUAAAGCGAGCGCAGCGGUUUCUUAAGUCUGAUGUGAAAGCUCUCGGCUCACCCGGGGAGGGUCAUUGGAAACUGGGAGACUUGGGUGCAGAGAAGGAGAGUGAAUUUCAUGGUGGUAGCGGUGAAAUGCGUA